UUCACCCCUAACAGACAGAGAAGGAAGCAGCGAACACAUUAGGAUACUGUCUCAGCUAACAGAAGAGAAAGAGCAGUGAACACAUUAGGAUACUGUCAUCAGCUAACAGACAGAGAAAGGAUCAGUGAACACAUUAGAUACUGUCAUCAGCUAAAAGACAGAGAAAGGAAGCAGUGAACACAUUAGGAUACUGUCAUCAGCUACGACAGAGAAAGGAAGCGUGAACACAUUAGGAUACUGUCACCACCUAACAGACAGAGAAAGGAUCAGUGAACACAUUAGGAUACUGUCAUCAGCUAACAGGGACAGAGAAAGGGAUCAGUGAACACAUUAGGAGUACUGUCCACCACUAACAGACAGAGAAGGGAUCAGUGAACACAUUAGGAUACUGUCAUCAGCUAAAAGACAGUGAAAGGAAGCAGUGACACAUUAGGUACUGUCAUCAGC
rnacentral:lncRNA from 1 species